UUUCGAAAACAAACGAAUGAUACAAAACAGUAUACUGCAAGUGAACUGCAAUGAAAUUCUGCGUUGUUUUUGUUCAAAACAUGUAUAGCAUUCAUGCAGAAUAAGAUGAAAUGUCAUGAAUAAAACUAUUAUACUCGCGAAAUAGCAGUAAAUCGAUAUGAUCACUUAUAAAUUCACCAAAAAAAAACCUGACCUACUUUCGAAAAAAGUGGACCAAUUGACUCGGAAAAAACAGGAUCUUCGCCGGACACUAUACCUACUGUGUAAAUUAUAUUUUCAUAUCAGUGUUUUGUAGUAUUAGAUUUUAUAACAAUAUAGUCUAUUUGGUUUUUUUUAGUCAGAAACGUUUAGACAGAUUGUUAAGCAAAGAGAACAAUCGGCUGAAAUAGUUAAAUAUAAAAAAGAAGA
rnacentral:lncRNA from 1 species